rnacentral:RNase_P_RNA from 1 species
GGAGACAACCAGACGAUUGCCGCCUGCUGGAGCCUUGAGCGAAGGCGGGGGGAGGAAAGUCCGGGCUCCACAGGGCAGGAUGGUCCUUAACGGGGACCGGGGGCGACCCCAGGGAAAGUGCCACAGAGAGAAGACCGCCCCAGCUUCAUCAAGACCAUGGCGGGUUUUCCCGUUAAAGUCUUUGGUGAAGGUGAGGUAAGGGUGAAAGGGUGAGGUAAGAGCUCACCAGUGCCGGUGGUGACAUCGGCAGCUCGGUAAACCCCAUCCGGAGCAAGGCCAAAUAGGGGAGUGCUUGAGGACGGCCCGUCCGAAACUCCCGGGUCAGGCUGCUUGAGGCCGUCGGCAACGACGGUCCUAGAGGAAUGAUCGUCGUCCCGCAGCAGGUAACUGCUACGGGGAACAGAACCCGGCUUACGGUUCUCUCCAACC